rnacentral:rRNA from 1 species
CCUACGGGAGGCAGCAGUGGGGAAUAUUGCACAAUGGGCGCAAGCCUGAUGCAGCCAUGCCGCGUGUGUGAAGAAGGCCUUCGGGUUGUAAAGCACUUUCAGCGGGGAGGAAGGCGGUGAGGUUAAUAACCUCAUCGAUUGACGUUACCCGCAGAAGAAGCACCGGCUAACUCCGUGCCAGCAGCCGCGGUAAUACGGAGGGUGCAAGCGUUAAUCGGAAUUACUGGGCGUACAGCGCACGCAGGCGGUCUGUCAAGUCGGAUGUGAAAUCCCCGGGCUCAACCCGGGAACUGCAUUCGAAACUGGCAGGCUAGAGUCUUGUAGAGGGGGGUAGAAUUCCAGGUGUAGCGGUGAAAUGCGUAGAGAUCUGGAGGAAUACCGGUGGCGAAGGCGGCCCCCUGGACAAAGACUGACGCUCAGGUGCGAAAGCGUGGGGAGCAAACAGGAUUAGAUACCCGAGUAGUC